GCACCUCAUAAAACGGGUGCCGGGAUUAGCACCCCGAAGUCAAUCACGGCGCAUAACCGCGCUCAGGCGGUUUUUUU
rnacentral:sRNA from 1 species